GUGCGAGCAGCCGCGGUAAUACCGGCAGCCCGAGUGAUGGCCGAUCUUAUUGGGCCUAAAGCGUCCGUAGCUGGCCGCGCAAGUCCAUCGGGAAAUCCACCCGCCCAACGUGUGGGCGUCCGGCGAAAACUGUGUGGCUUGGAACCGGAAGGCUCAGAGGGUACGUCCGGGGUAGGAGUGAAAUCCCAUAAUCCCGCACGGACCACCGAUGGCGAAAGCACUUCGAGAAAACGGAUCCGACAGUGAGGGACGAAAGCCAGGGUCUCCAACCGGAUUAGAUACCCUAGUAGUCC
rnacentral:rRNA from 1 species